rnacentral:rRNA from 1 species
UGCCAGCAGCCGCGGUAAUACAGAGGGAGCAAGCGUUGUUCGGAAUUACUGGGCGUAAAGGGCGCGUAGGCGGUCUGGAAAGUCUUGCGUGAAAUCCCCCGGCUCAACUGGGGAAUUGCGCGGGAAACUGCCAGUCUUGAGUUCGGGAGAGGGAAGCGGAAUUCCGGGUGUAGCGGUGAAAUGCGCAGAUAUCCGGAGGAACAUCGGUGGCGAAGGCGGCUUCCUGGACCGACACUGACGCUGAGGCGCGAAAGCCAGGGGAGCAAACGGGAUUAGAUA